GUCUAUGGCCAUGACACCCUGAAUGUGCCUGAUCUCGUUUGAUCUUGGAAGCUAAGCAGGGUUGGGCCUGGUUAGUACUUGGAUGGGAGACCGCCUAGAAAUACCGGGUGCUGUAGGCA
rnacentral:rRNA from 1 species